CCCUUAGAUGUCCGGGGCCGCACGCGCGCUACACUGAAGGAAUCAGCGUGGCUUUCUCCCUGACCCGAAAGGGUUGGGAAACCCGUUGAAUCUCCUUCGUGAUAGGGAUUGGGGCUUGAAAUUGUUCCCCAUGAACGAGGAAUUCCCAGUAAGCGCGAGUCAUAAGCUCGCGUUGAUUACGUCCCUGCCCUUUGUACACACCGCCCGUCGCUACUACCGAUUGAACGGUUUAGUGAGGGGCUGGGAUUGGUCUCGGCCCGCUCUUUACCGGGCGGCGCCGUUGGUCGAGAAGACGCUCGAACUUGAUCGUUUAGAGGAAGUAAAAGUCGUAACA
rnacentral:rRNA from 1 species